rnacentral:rRNA from 1 species
UGCGUAGGCGGUGCCUCAAGUUUGGUGUGAAAUCUCCCGGCUCAACCGGGAGGGUGCGCCGAAAACUGAGGUGCUCGAGUGUGGGAGAGGUAAGCGGAAUUCCUGGUGUAGCGGUGAAAUGCGUAGAUAUCAGGAGGAACACCGGCGGUGUAGACGGCUUACUGGACCAUAACUGACGCUGAGGCACGAAAGUGUGGGGAGCAAACAGGAUUAGAUACCCUGGUAGUCCACACCCUAAACGAUGCAUACUUGGUGUGAGCCAUUCAUUUGGUUCGUGCCGGAGCUAACGCGUUAAGUAUGCCGCCUGGGGAGUACGGUCGCAAGGCUGAA